rnacentral:lncRNA from 13 species
GGGAAGAGGGUUCUCAACUCUACCUGCACAGUAGAAGCAUUAGGUUUUCAAAUACCCAUGUUUGCCCACCCAUCCCUACCUGAUGAAGUAGCAUUUGGUGGGAGCUGGGCAUAAAUUUUAUUUUUGCAAGUCUUUCAGAUGAUUCUAAAGUGUAUUCAAUGUUGAUAAUAAAUAAUGCCUUUCUGCUCUCUCAGUUUGAAUACAAAAAGUCGAAGACCAGGCUUCUAUGUUAAAACUAGAGACACUAACUUUAUGACAUACUGAAGUGGAGUCUGCUUCCGUACAAAAGUGUUCAAUGUCUUUCUGCUCUUCUGACCUACGAUGUGGAGUUCUGCUUCCAAACACCCAAGAAAACCAAAAUAAUAUAUGCACUUUAUAUAUUGAGAUAAAGGAGAAAAAUGCAACACCAACAAUAACAUUAAACCUGGGACACUACAUGGGAUUUCAGGGAGAAGCAACAGGACCAUCCUUCAUCUGUGAUUUCUUCUCUGCAUUUCACCAGGGUUCCUUUUCUCUCUGAAGUAUCACUUCUCACACCCCCUCCCAAUUUUCCACAAGAUUGUCUCAAAAUCCGUAUCAACUAAAACAGCAAUUUUCCACGUUGAGGAAGAACUUUUUGAAUCAAAUUUUCAAAAUAAGAAAAAGUAUAUGAGGACAGAUCAAAUUAAGAAAUUGCAUGUCAAAAAUCUGUUAGGUUAUAUUUUGCAUUGAACAUACAGUACUAAAUAUAUUAAUAAGAACAUUUAACAGUUCUAUUCAAAUAGAAGCAUUUGUCUUUCCCUAGCUUUAAGAAGACUUCAAAAUUAUGAUGGAUUAUUUUUCAUAUUGUGAAAAAUAUGAAAGGGCAAGGAUAUAUAAAAAUAAUUUCCUAUUUUGAUUUUAGAGAGAAAAAAAUAUUUUGUAUACAAAGUUUAGUAGCUUGCAUGUCACAGACUUUCUAGGACACAAUUUGGUAAAAACAAGCAUGUUAGAGCAGUGACCUCCUUUGGGGCUGGCCCUCAUUCCUGACACUACAGAGGUGUAGACUAUUGUAGAAUACUCUUAUGCAGUUCUGAUCUAUGCUGCUAUACUAACCACCACUAACUAAGGGGCUCCUUAGUUGUCCCUCUUCAAUGGGAACUCUGAGCCUCAAAGGAAUUCAGUGUUGUUGUCCUGGUUUAGGUGUUCUUUGGACCAUACUAUCCAAGAUAGAUCUAUAAAGGAAUUCCUAGGGAAGCUUAGAGAAGAUCUGGAGAAUAAGUGGGAUGGCUCCAAUAAUAAUAUUAUGGUUCCCACAAGUAAUAUGCAUUUAUCAAAGACCUACUGUGUUUCCCACAUAAUUUUUUCUAUCCUCUGUUUGCAGGUAAAUGCUCAGUUAACCAAGUCAUAGCUUCAUUUUUCUUCAAAGGCAAAUGUUUAGUGAAAUAUAUUUGGUGUUUUUCCUCUUCUAAUAAAUAGACCAGCAUAUAUUUGAGACA